rnacentral:rRNA from 1 species
UACGUAGGGUGCAAGCGUUGUCCGGAAUUAUUGGGCGUAAAGAGCUCGUAGGCGGUCUGUCGCGUCGGAUGUGAAAAUCCAGGGCUCAACCCUGGACCUGCAUUCGAUACGGGCAGACUAGAGUUCGGCAGGGGAGACUGGAAUUCCUGGUGUAGCGGUGAAAUGCGCAGAUAUCAGGAGGAACACCGGUGGCGAAGGCGGCUUCCUGGACCAAUACUGACGAUCAGGUGCGAAAGCGUGGGGAGCAAACAGG